UAGAACAACGUGUUUUUCGCCCGGAGACACCUUAAUCAGAGACAAUACAAAUGACGCACGAGAAUCAAAAAGGUCUUCAUUGUGUAAGCAUUUCGGUAUGCAGAACAAAUCUUCAUAAAAAGGAACUACAUCCUCGCUCUUUGGAGAUCAGAGACAGCCCAUGACGGCCAUGGGCUGUUGCUUUCUUUUCACCACCCUCCAGGUAAGAUUGUACAUAAGCUUUUGAUCACACCUUCUAUAUCUCACCUUUUUACUUACAAAAAUCAAGUUUUAACUUUUAUCAAAUCAUCUGCUUCUGUUUUAUGGUUUAAGGUGAAACACUCAUAAGAUUUAAGGUGCUAUCGUUUAAAGACAAUUCUCUCUCUUUCUCUCUCUCUCUCUCUCUCUCUCUCUCUCUCUCUUUAUGUGUGUGUGUGUCCCUCUCUCUCUCUCAUAAUAUAUGUUGUAUUUUUGUUUAUGAAAACGACAUUUUAACAAAGCAGGACUUUAGCUACGGUCACACAGUGGUUAGUUUAUGUACUUUGAAAACAUAUUGCUCUAACUUCUUUCUUCAAAGAUAAUACACUAUCAACUAAUAAAAUGCCAUAUUUGAAAUCCCAAGUAUAUCACUAUUAUGGUUACGGUUAUUUGAAGCCAAUGAUGUUUUUUUUUAUAGUUAUUUAAUUUUAUAUUUGAAACUAAAUUACAUAAUCCUAACUUAACAACAUUUGUUAUUUUUUUAUUGUAUGGAGUAAAAAAGAAGAUAUAGAUGGCAGUCAUGAUGAUUUUGUUCCUCAUGUUUGGACCAGUUGAAGGGAGAGUUGGCGUCCAUCUUGGCUUGUCCAAAAGGAAUAUAUUUUAUACAGGCUCAAUUUGUAUGGGUAGAUUGCUUAAGAAACAGGUUCGGAUCAACAACCCAACUGAUCGCUUACCUUUCUUUACAACAAGGCCUAUUUGACAAGGAGUAAUGGUUGUAAUAUGCUUUAAAAUAUUCUCUUUACUAAGUUUCUCAACAAUUUUGUCUAUAUCAAGUUUUGCAUAAAGUUUUACACAAUAUCUAAUCGUAAGUUAUUCAUAAAUCAUAUUUGAAAUCUUAUAUUUUUUUUAGUUUUUGUUGAUUUUGAAAUGUUUAGAAGAUGACCGAUCUAAUAGAUAUACAUAUGAAGCACAAUACCAUGUCGAUUUGCUUCCUAAUGAGAGAUCCUUUUUUUGUAUUAGUUUUGAUCGAAUUGUUCGGAUAUACUUUGUUUAUUUAUAGAUAAUGAGAAAAAGACAUUUUACUUAUUA